ACGCUCGACACCUACUGGAGGCAGCAGUGGGGAAUAUUGCACAAUGGGGGAAACCCUGAUGCAGCGACGCCGCGUGAGCGAAGAAGUAUUUCGGUAUGUAAAGCUCUAUCAGCAGGGAAGAAACUGACGGUACCUGACUAAGAAGCACCGGCUAAAUACGUGCCAGCAGCCACGGUAAUCUGAGCGGGCUGGCAAGGC
rnacentral:rRNA from 1 species